GGAUGUGUCAAAGGUCUCUAGGGCAGAGAGAGAAGGUCAUGUCAAAACCACACACUGGCCAGUAAAACAUCUUUUAUAAAAUGUGAUGAAGAAUUGUCUCUGAGAAAAUGAAUUUUCAAAAGGGAGAGCAAGAGCAUAGGAAGAGCAAGAUCUAAAAUACUUUCUACUGAAGACACCAAAGAAAAGAAAAUAAUAUGCAUGAUAGAGCAAUUUCUGCAACUAUUGACAGGACAACCAGAGAAAUCUGCACAGACACGAAAGUGUCUGUUGCCUGACUGCUCUAUGAGACAGAAUGAGAAAAUGCUGUUUCACACUAAUAACCUGAUACUGCUGACAUCCAGAGACAACCCAACUGAAAGAAGAAAACUUAGCAAUUUCAGGCAUUGAGGAAUAAAUGAAAGACAAAUUUCUCUGCUAAAGCAGCCCCUUAAGCUUCU
rnacentral:lncRNA from 1 species